GAUGAACGCUAGCGGCAGGCCUAAUACAUGCAAGUCGAACGGGUGGUCGCAAGCCCCCUAGUGGCGCACGGGUGCGUAACGCGUAACCAACCUGCCCCGAUCUGGGGGAUAGCCCGCCGAAAGGCGGAUUAAUACCGCAUAUACCCGCAGCCUGGCAUCAGGCAACGGGGAAAGAUUUAUUGGAUCGGGAUGGGGUUGCGUGACAUUAGCUAGUUGGCGGGGUAAGGGCCCACCAAGGCGACGAUGUCUAGGGGACCUGAGAGGGUGAUCCCCCACACUGGCACUGGGAUACGGGCCAGACUCCUACGGGAGGCAGCAGUAGGGAAUAGUGGGCAAUGGGCGAGAGCCUGACCCAGCCAUGCCGCGUGCCGGAUGAAGGCCUUCUGGGUUGUAAACGGCUUUUCUCAGGGAAGAAAAAGACCUUGCGAGGUACACUGACGGUACCUGAGGAAUAAGCACCGGCUAACUCCGUG
rnacentral:rRNA from 1 species